AAUCAACGCUGGCGGCGUGCCUCAGACAUGCAAGUCGAACGAUUAAGACUCUCUUCGGAGAGUGUAUAAAGUGGCGCACGGGUGAGUAACACGUAGGUAAUGUACCGUAGGGUGGGAAUAACUUAGGGAAACUUAAGCUAAUACCGCAUAAUGCAGCGGCUCGACAUCGAGACAGUUGUUAAAGGGAAAUCCGCCUUAUGAGCAGCCUGCGGCAGAUUAGCUAGUUGGUAAGGUAAUGGCUUACCAAGGCUACGAUCUGUAACCGACCUGAGAGGUGUCGGUCACACUGACACUGAAUAACGGGUCAGACUCCUACGGGAGGCAGCAGUCGGGAAUUUUGGGCAAUGGGCGAAAGCCUGACCCAGCAACGCCGCGUGAAGGAUGAAGUAUUUCGGUAUGUAAACUUCGUAAGAAUAGGAAGAAUAAAUGACGGUACUAUUUGUAAGGUCCGGCUAACUACGUGCCAGCAGCCGCGGUAAGGCACGACUGU
rnacentral:rRNA from 1 species